AUGGGCGCCGCUCUCGUUCCUCUCCUCGUCUACGUAGUGCUCGUGGUGGUGGCGGCGGCGCGUGCCCCGGCGGCGUCCGCGGCGCCGCGGGCCUUCUUCGUCUUCGGCGACUCCCUCGUCGACAACGGCAACAACAACUACCUCCUCACCACCGCGCGCGCCGACGCGCCGCCCUACGGCAUCGACUUCCCGUCGCACCGCGCCACGGGCCGCUUCUCCAACGGCCUCAACAUCCCCGACAUCAUCAGUGAGCACCUCGGGGCGGAGCCUGCGCUGCCGUACCUGAGCCCGGAGCUCCGAGGGGCGAAGCUGCUCGUGGGCGCCAACUUCGCGUCGGCCGGCGUCGGGAUCCUCAACGACACGGGAGUGCAGUUUGUGAACAUAAUUAGGAUGGGGGAUCAGCUGCGUUACUUCGGGGAGUACCAGCGCAAGCUGAGGGCCUUCGCCGGCGAGGAGCAGGCGGCGAGGCUCGUCAACGGCGCGCUCGUGCUCAUCACGCUGGGAGGCAACGACUUCGUCAACAACUACUACCUGGUGCCCAUGUCCAUGAGGUCUCGCCAGUACGCUCUCCCGGGCUACGUAAGCUUCAUCAUCUCCGGGUACAGGAAAAUCCUCGCGAGGCUGUACGAGCUGGGGGCGCGGCGCGUGAUCGUGACGGGGACAGGGCCGCUGGGGUGCGUGCCGGCGGAGCUGGCGCAGCACAGCAGCAACGGCGAGUGCGCGGCGGAGCUGAACCGCGCCGUGGACCUCUUCAACCCGCAGCUGGUGGACAUGGUGCGCGGCCUCAACCGCGACGCCGGCGCCGACGUCUUCGUCUCCGCCAACGCCUACCGCGCCAACUUCGACUACCUCACCAACCCGCAGAGCUACGGGUUCACGAACGUGAAGGUGGCGUGCUGUGGGCAGGGGCCGUACAACGGGAUCGGUCUGUGCACGGCGGCGUCCAACGUGUGCGCCAACCGGGAGGUGUUCGCCUUCUGGGACGCCUUCCACCCCACAGAGCGGGCCAACCGGAUCAUCGUCGGCCAGUUCAUGCAUGGGUCCACCGACUACAUGCACCCCAUGAACCUCAGCACCAUACUCGCCAUGGACCAGCUGCAGGAGGGUUCUCUUUAG
rnacentral:rRNA from 1 species